GCUUGUGUCUGACAGGGCAAACGAACCAGAAGACAAAUGCAGGGUCAGACAUAAACAUUUGGAUGAAACAGAAGCAUGCCCAAAGCGACUCACUCAGGGGCAGCGAAGUACUUAGAUAUGGAGUACCUGAACAUAACCUGUUCAUGCUCUUUGAUCAUUUUGGUUUCUGGGACUUUAGUACUUCGAGAGUUUAUAAUGGAACUCAAUCUUGUUUUUGACUGUAAUAUCCUGAUAUCUCCAUGGAAAAUCUGACUAGAGAUCAUUUAAAUGUUCAACAUACGUCAAAACAACCUCCUUCGGACAGUUUGACUGUCUUAAAUUUUGUUUCAAAAUUAUAUCCAAGCAUCCAAGAACUUCGAAAAUGUCAAAAAGAGAAACAAAAUCUUGUUAAAUGACUUUUGACAACCAUCGAACAUCAGUGUGAAGUCAUUUUCUUCCUACAACUGAGCAAAUCAUCACGUAUUCAACUCGUUGCUUCAGAUUUCUUGAAUUGCUUUCAAAACACAUUUCUGAGUUUCAUGCAAUUUAUACUGCUCAUAUUUUUUACAACUAAAAGUUUUCAUGAAUAAACACAGUGUGUCGCUAAUACUCUUGGGACUUUUCAUUUUUAAACGUUCGAUAGCUUUACAGCGUUUCAUUAGAUUACAUAAAACCUUGUGACAUAGAUUCCACAUAAGUAUUUGCAGUCGGACAAGGAAGGAAUAAAGCCAACAUUCAAAUAAUCAACACUGGGAUGUGUACAUUUCUUUUUAGAUUCUCAAUCAACUUUAUAUUAUUUAACAGAAGGCGAAAGUAUGCUGUUGAAGGUGCGACCCUGUGCGGCUUCGUUGUUUAAACAUGAAUUCUGUUCAGGCUCAUCAUUUUGAUAGGGAAAAAAAGUGAAAUGUUAACUGUGAGACUCUUAGUGAACAGCUGAUAAAAGUUUCCUGCUCUGCUCAAAUGUGUGGCAUGUGCCUGAUGCUGGUGCCACGGAGACCAGCACUGUUGCAAGACAAUUAUUUCCUUGUGUGUCCUUUGAAAUAAAGC